rnacentral:rRNA from 1 species
GACGUAGGGUCCGAGCGUUUGUCCGGAAUUACUGGGCGUAAAGCGCGCGCAGGCGGUUGGUCGCAUCGGCGGUGAAAGCCCCCCCGCUCAACGGGGGAGGGUCCGUCGAGAUGGGCCGACUGGAGGCAGGGAGAGGUCAGUGGAAUUCCGGGUGUAGUGGUGAAAUGCGUAGAGAUCCGGAGGAACACCAGUGGCGAAGGCGGCUGACUGGACCUGACCUGACGCUGAGGCGCGAAGGCGUGGGGAGCGAACGGGG